UAACGCGUGAGGAACCUGCCUCAAUGAGGGGGACAACAGUUGGAAACGACUGCUAAUACCGCAUAAGCCCACGGCUCGGCAUCGAGCAGAGGGAAAAGGAGUGAUCCGCUUUGAGAUGGCCUCGCGUCCGAUUAGCUAGUUGGUGAGGUAAUGGCCCACCAAGGCGACGAUCGGUAGCCGGACUGAGAGGUUGAACGGCCACAUUGGGACUGAGACACGGCCCAG
rnacentral:rRNA from 1 species